CCAGCUCCAGCUGUUUCUACGCGAGGAGCCAAGAAAAGUCAGGGACUCGCUCGCCCGCAGCCAACAGGUGUCUCAGGGCCCCGCCCACACCAGCCCCCAGGAGUCGUGGCCCCGCCUCGCCCUUCAGGUCCCACCCUUCAGGCCCCGCCCAAGCACCUGCAGCUCCACCAGUCUGCUGCUGCAUUCUGUCUGUUGGAAUAUGUUGCCUUGGUUGUGAUGAAGAAAACCUGGCCUCACAGAGAUAGUUGCUUGGAGACACAGAAAAGCCAUUCAAAAUGAACAAACUCCAGAACAAAUGCACGGAGAUGGCAGUUGAUAAGCUGACUCAUUUUGGGUAGAACAGUGGUCAUAAACUAAGCUGUUUGAGGGAUGGGAUACUGAAAGAGUAGGAUAUGGUUGGAUGUGGUGGUUAUACCUAUAAUCCCAGCAUUCUGGGAGGCUGAGGCAGGAGGAUUCCAAGUUUCUACUCUUUAACGGCUACUCCAAAAGAUUUUUCAAAAGGGAGAUUUUUCACCUGUCAGGACACUCAGCCCUGGGGAUGUAGACCAGCCACUGUGAGUCGGCCCCAUGGCCUUCUGAUGAUUUACCAUAUGCUGAAUCCUGAAAAAACUGGGCAUGCGGAGGCUAUGCCACAUGUGCCACUGAGUCAGGAGCCCAUUGUGCAGCAGGAGCCAGUGGAGUACAGCCAGCCAGAGUCUCACACACUGGAACCCACACCACACCAGACUCCAUGGACCAAGUGAUUGAUCACUUUCUCUUGGGCCAGGUUUGUCCUUUCUAGCAUCUCCAUCUUCACCUGAAAGGAACUGAGGCAGCAUAAAAAUUCACAGCAUCCUUGAGUAAUUCAGGGUAGAAAACAAAAAAUGUGUUUCCCAUAAUUGGUAAGAUCUCCGAUUUUUCUCCCCAGCAUAGCUCAUUUGAGAGCUCAGGCCCUUCUUAUGACUCAAGAUUAUUUUGGGGGUUCAAACAACAAACCUCUUCCUUGAGUUCUCUAUCCCCUCACCCCACUGGUCAGCCCAGACUCAGCCUCUCCCCAUCCUGAGCACAUAGCAGAGCAGAUUCUUUCAAAUGCAUCCCCUUCCAUUUCUUCCCUCAAUGGAAGUUUUAACAGUCUCUCAUCAUCAUUGUAAUUCAGUACAGAAUGAUUCUUGCUUUUGCAAAAUGAAGACACUUCUAUUUUCAUUGCUGGCCAAGGAAAAAAAACUAUAGUAUGUUAAUAUUUUCUGUCCCCCAAAAAUUCGUAUGUUGAAGCACUAAUCUCUAAAGUAACUGCUUUUGGAGAAAGGGCCUUAAAGAAAAUAAUUAAGAUUAAACGUGGUCAUAAAAAUGAGGCCAUGAUUCCAUCAAGUUGGUGUUCUUAUAUAAACAGGGUUUUGCACACCUGUAAUCUGAGCAUUGGAGGAGAGUAAGGCAGAAGGUUAGCAAAUUCAAAUCCCACCUGAGUAAUUUACCGAAACUGUGUUACAAUGAGAAAUAAGGCUGAGAUGUGGCUCAGUAAUAGAACCCUUGUGUUCAGUUUCUAGUACCAAAAAAUAAUGACACCAAACAGCUCACUCAUUGUUCUGUAUCUGUCUCUCUAUAUAUCUUCCCAAAGAGAAGAUCACGUGAGCACACAGAGAGAUGGCAAUCACAUAUAAACCAAGAGAGGAAACCUCAGAGUGACACCUACUGUAAUGGAAAUUUUAUAGCAAGAAAUUUUAAAAAUUAAUUAGUAACCUGUUAUUGUAUUAGGACAAGAUGUGCUUACCCCGCCUGUCACAUAAUUACACUGUUAAACCUAGUCACCCUUGACUGUGUCCAGCUGCUUUUCACAGAUACCCUAAUUCAGGUCAGCCUGUCCCAGUUCAGCUGCAAGUGCUAUAUUUUUCCACCUAAAAAUAUAGCCCAUUUUUCCAAUAUGCUUUAAGGACUUUCUACCUGGGACAAGAUAGCCCAAUCAAGGACAUACUUAACUCUACCUGCCCUGCUCAGCAGCCCCUUUCCUAGAAUUUCCCUGCCUCAUAAUAAACAAUUUAUUUUAGUUAAUUCUACCUGACAAUGUAUAACUUAAUUCAUGUAACCAAUUAUAUGAUAACCUGCUAUUAGCUUUUAUACUUCCUGCUUACAAAAUGUAUAUAAGUUUCUGUUUCUCUGUUAACCAGAGCUGAUGAUUUGUAACUGAUUCCCACUAGCCUAUUAGCAUAAUAAAUCAUUGCCUUCUAAA